CUUCGCCCUGACGGUCUGGACAAUGGUGCACGGCCGUUCAUGAUGGGUAGAGUGAUUUUUUUUUCUGGUUGAUUCCAAUAACGGUGUUUGAGAUUUUUUUUUUUUUUUGGUCUCCUGACC
rnacentral:rRNA from 16 species